CAUGCGCGGUGCACGAGCUGAUUUCUCAAGGCACAGUGACUCCCACCGUCGCUCGAGUGAUGGGUCCAUGAGGCUGGGCGAAGCAGGAGCCCACUGUGGCAGUGCGUCGGUAUCGAGGCUCCAGCCUGACCUCUCCCAGGGGUCAACAGGAUGGUCUCCGGACGCCAGGAGUCGCGGAGGGCCGACCAGGUUUGUGAAGGCCGGUUCGACCUGGGGAGCUGCGUUGGUCCCACAGGGAUUGAAACCUCCCCAUCCUGAGCGUCCUACUUUCGAGGAUCAAGACAACCACACCACACCCAAGGACCAAAGCCUCCCAGGAGCUUAUUGUCCUGCAGGAGUGCGUGCAGACCAACAUCAAAGAAGAUGGUUCUAACUCCUCCCACCUCCCACCUUCUCCUCUCAUUAAGAAAUGUAGCCCCACCGCGACAGUCUUGGAGAAGAAGCCGGGAACGGGACGCGGCAAGGAUCUCUGUGACUUAAAUCUGGCCUUUCUGGCCCAGUCUCCCAUUUGGCACUUCUUCCUGGAUGCGCAUGGUAGUGGCAUUGUGCUGUAUCCUGCCUGGGCUGUGGCCUCUGCUCUGUACUCCCUCUUGCUCUAUCUGCCAUAGGAGCCUAGAGGCUUGGUCUGGCUUAAAGUCUUCAACAAAGAACACUUUGGAGUCCGUGAGGGAGAAAUUUCGUGGAGAUCCGUUUCACAGUUGUUUCCCUCUCCAAACCUAUUUCUGGUCGAUUAGGCAGGUGCCAUGAUCCUCUGGGCUUCCAUACCUGUCUUGGACAGGGAAGCUCCCUUGGUCUCCAUGUCCCACCUGAUGGCUGCGUGGUUUGUUUCAGUCUAGGAUGAGCGAGUCUCGCUGUGUCACCCAGGCCGGAGUGCAGUGGUGCGAUGCACCAUCUCGGCUCUCGGCACGCUGCAACCUUCGCAACCUCUGCCUCCCGGGUUCAGUCGAUUCUCUUGACUCAGCCUCCUGCGAUUGGACUACAGGCAUGCACCACCAUACCCGGCUAAUUUUAGUAGAGACGGGGGUUUCACCAUGUUGGGCAGGCUUGUCUCGAACGCCUGACCUCGUGACUCCUGACCUGGUGAUCCGCCUGCCUCGGCCUCACGAAGUGUUGGGAUUACAGGCGUGAGCCACUGUGCCAGGCCAAGAGUAGUAAUCUUUUAACCGC
rnacentral:lncRNA from 1 species